rnacentral:rRNA from 1 species
CCCUUAGAUGUCCUGGGCCGCACGCGCGUUACACUGACGCAUUCAACGAGCUUAUAACCUUGGCCGAGAGGCCUGGGCAAUCUUGUUAACGUGCAUCGUGAUAGGGAUAGAUUAUUGAAAUUAUUAAUCUUGAACGAGGAAUUCCUAGUAAACGCAGAUCAUCAAUCUGCAUUGAUUACGUCCCUGCCCUUUGUACACACCGCCCGUCGCACCUACCGAUUGGAUGGUCCGGUGAAGCCUCGGGAUUGUGGUUCUUGCCGCUUUAUUGUAGCGUGACCGCGAGAACUUGUCUAAACCUUAUCAUCUAGAGGAAGGUGAAGUCGUAACA